rnacentral:piRNA from 1 species
UGACGGCCAAGUGAUUUCUCUCCUGC